UCAGAAGAUGGGUGGCCAGCAGGAUGAGGGAGGUGAUUGUCCCCCUCUAUUCUGCCUUCAUGUACGUUCCAGCUGAAGUACGUUGUCCAAAUAUGGGGUCCCCAACAUAGGAAAGAUGUGGAGCUUUUGGAGACAGUCCUGAGGAAGGCCAAAAAGAUGAUCAGAGGGCUGGAGAAUCUUCAUCCUUCUGGAUUUGUUCAGCGUUGUCAGAAAAGUAAAAUGUAAAGGACCAUUGAAGGAAGAUGCAAACCUGGCAGUACUGAAUACAGUGUAUAGAAUGAACUAGUAAUUCCAUAUGGAUCAUUUAAGUUGCAAGAAUUCACAUGAAAGAUCAUCAUCGGGUGGAAGAUUAAUAUCAGCAAAUGGAAGAGAUGUAUGAUGAAAAAAAUUAAGUAAUCAAAACUAAACAGAAGCCUCUAUAGCACUGGUGAUAGUGGAAAGAAAAAACUGACAUGUCAGAGGAGUCAGAUGAGUAUGAAUGAACAGCUGCUGUUCACCCAGCCUCAGGAGUUCAGAGGUACAAUCAAGGCCAAGACCUCACUCUUCAUAAAGAAGAAAUACAGAGCGCAAGGAAAUAGGAUGUAUCGCCAAAUAUCCGUGUCACUUCCCCUGAGGAAUAAGUCUGUUAUGUUAAAAGUUCCCUACUGCUUUGGUAAUGCAGACUUCAUCAAAUACCUCAGAACUCCAGUGUGUUAUCAUUAAGUUGGGAUUUUCAGUGACUCGUGGAUGCAUCUAUUCUUUAUUUUCUACACCACAAUUCUGUCUGCAUUACAAAUUACAGAAGGCCAUCACGUCUUCUAUCUCACGUUUCAGCUUUUCCUGUGAAUACAAAGAAGUUUCAGAAGCUCUUUUCCAAGGAGAUUAUAAGGUUGAAAAUGGAUUUUAGGAUCGCCAGUGAUGAGGGAGAAGUGAAAGCUAGUCUGCUUCACAAGGAGAUCAAGCCAAGGGGGACCACACACAAGUCCCCAGUGUGGUAGCAGCAGGCAGCUCUCUAAGUCCAGAGCAAGGAGAUGGCUGGGUACAAGUUGGGACACAGAACAGAAGGCAAGAUAGGUACAAAGGCAA